rnacentral:rRNA from 1 species
CGUGUAGGCGGACUAGCCAGUCAGGCGUGAAAGCCCCGGGCUUAACCUGGGAACUGCGUUUGAUACUGUUAGUCUAGAGUUCGGGAGAGGAUGGUGGAAUUCCCAGUGUAGAGGUGAAAUUCGUAGAUAUUGGGAAGAACACCGGUGGCGAAGGCGGCCAUCUGGACCGAUACUGACGCUGAGGCGCGAGAGCGUGGGGAGCAAACAGGAUUAGAUACCCUGGUAGUCC